rnacentral:misc_RNA from 1 species
AGUUAUCAUCUCUCCUACUGCCACGUUCAUAGUCUGAGUCAUAACUAUAUCUACUGUACUCAUAGUCUCUUUCACGGCUAUCCUCUCUGUUGGGGUGAGCCAUACGAUGUUUGUAGUCAUAAUCAUCAUAUGGGUCGUCAUGCUCCCGUCCCACGUACCUAGCAGGCGGCUUCUCAUGCCUCCUGGAAUCCCUCUCCACAGGGUACACUUCUUCAUAACUUCUCCUCCUUGUCUGAGGCCAGUGUCCAACUGCUGCUGGUGGAUGAGGGUAGUGCUCUCCAUCCAGUAUAUCACGGUGAUAGGCACCCCGGGGAUAAACACCAUCCCUUGAAAAUCUAUCGUCUAGAAACCUCCUAUCAUCAAAAGAACCACCAGCCCGGAAAUCUGGCUCGUGAACUCCUCUAUAACCCUCCAAAGCCUGUGGAUUCAAGAGAAUAAGUUGUGUCAGCAAGUUAAAAUCAUGGAUGGAAGUUUAGGCAAACCAUUCCACAUCCUCACUCUCCCAUGGCUUUCAUUCAUUGUUCUUUAAGAGAUGCCGGAAAAAGUUUUGGACAAUCACAUGACCCUAGUUUCUUGUAUAUCAUCCAUUAUGUGAUUAAGAAAGGAACCACAAUUACGCUGUUAUUUUCCCAUCCUUGAUGGGGGCCAUAUCGACCAGGAUCCAUUUCUUGCAAGAGCCACCGGUGUUAUUCCUGCAGAACUCUUGAUGUUCUUUUUUGAAGUAUCAGCUGCAAGAUGACUGUAAGGCUUUCAACUCAGUUUUUAAAUAUGAUCGCCGAUAAUUCGCCGGAGAUUGAGAUGCUAAUGGAGCAAAGCUUUCGCCGCCGAUGUAAAAAGCUGUUCGGUCCAAAUGUGAAACUCGAUAGAAAAACA